AUAGCAGAGGAUCUUCAACGGCGUUUGUUUCGGAUUGCAUUGGGGCGUAAAGGGUGCGUAGGCGGCGCGGUAAGUCGGGUGUGAAAUCUCGGGGCUUAACUCCGAAACUGCAUUCGAUACUGCCGUGCGUUGAGGACUGGAGAGGAGACUGGAAUUUACGGUGAGCGGUGAAAUGCGUAGAUAUCGAUAAGGAAGACCAGUGGCGAAGCGGGUCUCUGGACAGUUCCGUGACGCUGGAGGUAACGAAGGCCAGGGGAGCAAACGGG
rnacentral:rRNA from 1 species